UAAUGCUUGGGAAUCUGGCUUAUGGAGGGGGGUAACUACGGGAAACUGUAGCUAAUACCGCGUAGUAUCGAGAGAUUAAAGUGUGGGACCUUCGGGCCACAUGCCAUAGGAUGAGCCCAAGUGGGAUUAGGUAGUUGGUGAGGUAAAGGCUCACCAAGCCGACGAUCUCUAGCUGGUCUGAGAGGAUGACCAGCCACACUGGGACUGAGACACGGCCCAG
rnacentral:rRNA from 1 species